rnacentral:misc_RNA from 1 species
AAGGAAAAUAAAUCAUCAUCUUCAGUUUUGAAAGACUGAGAUUAAAUAAGUUUUUCUUUUUAGGUAAAAGGUUUUGAGGUUUAAAGUCCAUUUAGGCUCACCAAUAUAUUUUUUACUUAAAAAAAGUUCUUUGAAAAGUAGAUAAACGUAACUUUAAAAAUUCAAGUAAAAA